rnacentral:rRNA from 1 species
UUGUCCUACGGGGGGCAGCAGUGGGGAAUAUUGGGCAAUGGACGCAAGUCUGACCCAGCAACGCCGCGUGAAGGAAGAAGGCUUUCGGGUUGUAAACUUCUUUUAAGGGGGAAGAGAAGAAGACGGUACCCCUUGAAUAAGCCACGGCUAACUACGUGCCAGCAGCCGCGGUAAUACGUAGGUGGCAAGCGUUGUCCGGAUUUACUGGGUGUAAAGGGCGUGCAGCCGGAGAGGCAAGUCAGAUGUGAAAUCCGCGGGCUCAACCCGCGAACUGCAUUUGAAACUGCUUCCCU